UACGUAGGGGGCAAGCGUUGUCCGGAUUUAUUGGGCGUAAAGAGCGUGUAGGCGGCCAUGCAGGUCCGUUGUGAAAACUCGAGGCUCAACCUCGAGACGCCGGUGGAAACCGUGUGGCUAGAGUCCGGAAGAGGAGAGUGGAAUUCCUGGUGUAGCGGUGAAAUGCGCAGAUAUCAGGAGGAACACCAAUUGCGAAGGCAGCUCGCUGGGACGUUACUGACGCUGAGACGCGAAAGCGUGGGGAGCAAACAGG
rnacentral:rRNA from 1 species